GACUUUAUAGUUUAAAUUAAAAUAACAAAUUGCAGAUUUGGGGAUAUAUUAAUAUAUUGAAGUUU
rnacentral:tRNA from 1 species